UUUGCUUUGUAAAUAAUCCAAAAACAUGGGCAAACUGCAUGGAAGAAUGAGAAAAAGUUUACAUGAUUUGCUAAGAUAUUAAUGGGAAUAAUUCAUAGACAUAAUGUUCCUGAUUCUGAGUCUCUUCUAGAAGAGGUAAUAGCGUGGAGAUCAGUGCAGUAGGAGAGGACAAGAGGGUGCAGGCAGAAGAUGAGAUGGAUGGACAGACAGCAGGAGGAAAUGUAUGAGGGCGAUGGGCCAGUUGACAAUCAAUGAAGAAAUGAAUACAAACUCACUUUGGAUAUGAAGCCAAGGUCUCCUAUUGAAUGUUCAUGAAGUGAUUCUUUGAAUUGUUUUGUAACAAAUCCAAAAAUAUGGCUCAGCUAUAUGAAAAAGUAAGAAAAAGUUUACAAGAUUUGCUAAGAUAUUAGUGGGAAAAAUUCAUAGACAUACGGUCACGAUUCUGAAUCUGUUCUAUAAAAUGCAAUAGCCUGGACGCCAGUAUAGCAGGGCAGAACAAGAGGAUGGAGGGAGAAGGUCUGUGGAUACACAGGGAUUAGAAGGAAAUGCAUGUGAGCGAUGGCUGGGGAUCAGUGGAGGAGAUCAGGACAAGAGGAUGGAGGGAGAAGAUCAGAUGGAUGUACAGGGGCCAGGAGGAAAUGUAUGAGAGCGACGGCUGAGGAUCAGUGGAGGAGGUCAGGACAAGAGGACGGAGGGAGAAGAUCAGAUGGAUGAACGAGAACCAGGAGGAAAUGUAUGAGAGUGACGGGUCAGUUUACCAUCUUGAAUGAUGGGACAAUUUCAUUACAUAUACAAAUGUAAAAAACAAGUAUAUCCUAUUCUAUGAAGAGCUACUGCUCACUCUACACAAUUUUACCACACAGCUUGUAGAAGAAAACCUGACACAUUGGCUGACAAGAGUUCAAUUGUUCUGACAACACAUGGAAAAUCUGAAAACUGGUUAACAGAGUUUUCCCUAUGAAUUUAUAAGCUAGUUCAUAAUGAUUACUAAAUGAGUACAAACUUACUUUGGAGGGGAAGCCACGAUCUCCUAUUAAAUAUUCGUGAUAUGUCUGGUUGAGUUGCUUUAUAAAUAAUCCAAAAACAUGGGCAAACUGCAUGGAAGAAUGAGAAAGAGUUUGCAUGAUUUGCUAAGAUAUUAGUGGGAAUAAUUCAUAGACAUAUGUUCCUGAUUCUGAGCCUCUUCUAUACAAUGUAAUACCCUGGAGUUCAGUACGGCAGAGCAGGACAAGAGGACGGAGGGAGAAGAUCAGACGGAUGAACAAGAGCCAGGAGGAAAUGUAUGAGAGCGAUGGCUGAGGAUCAGUGGAGGAGGUCAGGACAAGAGGACGGAGGGAGAAGAUCAAAUGGAUGAACGAGAACCAGGAGGAAAUGUAUGAGGGCGAUGGCUGGGGAUCAGUGGAGGAGGUCAGGACAAGAGGACGGAGGGAGAAGAUCAGAUGGAUGAAUGAGAACCAGGAGGAAAUGUAUGAGAGCAAUGGAAGAGGUAAUAGCGUGGAGAUCAGUGCAGUAGGAGAGGACAAGAGGGUGCAGGCAGAAGAUGAGAUGGAUGGACAGACAGCAGGAGGAAAUGUAUGAGGGCGAUGGCUGAGGAUCAGUGGAGGAGGUCAGGACAAGAAGACGGAGGGAGAAGAUCAGAUGGAUGAACGAGAACCAGGAGGAAAUGUAUGAGAGCGAUGGGUGACUUACCAUCUUGAAUGAUGGGACAAUUUCAUUACCGUAUAUAAAUGUAAAAAACAAGUAUACCCUAAUCUUAAGAGCCCCUGCUAUCUCUACACAAUUAUUCCAAAUAACUUGUAGAAAAACUUUUGAUUCAUAAGCUUACAGACUUUAAUUGUUCUGACAACACAUGGAAAAUCUGUUAAAAUGAUUAAUAGAAUUUCAUCUAUGAACUUUUAAGCCAGUUUACAAUCAAUUAAUAAAUGAAUACAAACUUACUUUGGUUGUGAAGACCAGAUCUUCUAUUGGA